rnacentral:misc_RNA from 1 species
GAUGAAGAACGCAGUGAAAUGCGAUACGUAGUGUGAAUUGCAGAAUUCAGUGAAUCAUCGAAUCUUUGAACGCACAUUGCACCUCUCGGUAUUCCGGGAGGUAUGCCUGUUCGAGCGUCAUUUGUACCCUCAAGCUCUGCUUGGUGUUGGGUGUUUGUUCCGCCUCUGUGUGUGAACUCGCCUCAAAACAAUUGGCAGCCGGCGUACUUGUUUCGGAGCGCAGCACAUUUUGCGAUCCAGAUCAACGUACAGCGGCAUCCAAGAAGCCUUAUUUAACGCUCUUGACCUCGGAUCAGGUAGGGAUACCCGCUGAACUUAAACAUAUCAAUAAGCGGAGGA